rnacentral:lncRNA from 10 species
GCAGGUAGUAUAUACUGCGUGGAGAUACUGGACAAACGGAUGAUUCAUAUCCUGGGAAGUAUGGAGUAGGAUGGCACAACAUUUCAUCACGCUACUCAGAAUGGUUCGCGAUUUGAAACUCAUGAAUUGUUUAUUUCUGGAAUGUUUGAUUUAAUAUUUUCAGACUGCAGUUGGCCACGGUUAACAGAAACAAUGAGAAGUGAAACUGCAGGUAACAGUUUCUGUCUUUAUGUGACAAGCCUUCAAGAAAAAAAUCAGUAUGUGACAAUACCUUCUAGUGAUUUUAUAGAAAUAACUACAAAAACCUUUAA